rnacentral:lncRNA from 1 species
CCUAUACAUGCCUCAUCAAUAUGCUCAAACCACAACUUUCACUUUACUUUUAUUUACCUGUCUUGUGGUCUUCUUGAGUAGGAAUUAGUCAAAGGUCCCAUCUCAAAUUUCCUGCUUCAUGUAGUUUCAAAAAGCUCUAUUCCCGGAGUUCCAUCUUGGCUUCUUCCUACUGAGAAGGAUCAAGACAAUAACAAUUUCCACUGAGAACUAAUUAUGAAGAUAGCAGUGAAAUUACUAUAUCAACAGCCCCAUUAAUGUAAUCACUUGAGAAACCGGAUGGAAAUUAGUGAAAGCUGUAACGUAGUAAGGGAUUGGCCCACCGGAAGCACAGGAGUGAUCACUGAACCCAUCUGGCUCCAAAAUCUGACACUGAGUCCUGAGGAGGAGGAUGGAAAGAAGGCAGACACUGGACUUUUAGCAAGUCUUUAGCUGCUGAAAAGAGGAACACAUUUUGUCUGAGUAGAGUGUGCCAGGAGAAAGCAAAUGAGAUACACUUGCCACCAAGAUGUCUGGGUUCAGAUGGAUUUGAGGAAAAGCCACCACUGCCUCUCCCCACUCCUCAGGUCUGGACCUGUAUCAGGUGUCAUCUGCGAAAGGAAGAUGUAUUCUAUUCUUGGAGUGAAGCCUUGGGAGUGCUCCUUGAUACCCUGCAGACCUGGCCCUAACUUCCCUCCAGUCUUACAUCACCUCUCCUGUGCUCAGCUCCAAGAGGACUCUGCUGGCUGCCAGGGCAUCCCUGUCCUCAAGAAGCUCCCAUUCAUUAGAGGCCAGAAUCCAGAUAAGAAUCCAGCUUAUUACAGUACAAAGUGUUAGGUGAGGGGGACCAGUUGAGGAAAUAAUUUAAUCCGUAGUAAAAUACUGUUGAUUGGGUGGUUUAAACAAAGGGAAUUUGUUUUCUCUCUGUUCUGGAAGUUGGGAAAUUCAAGAUCGACGUGUUGGCAAGGUAAAUUUCAUUCUGAGGUCUCUUUUCUUGGCUUGCAGGUGGCCACCAUCUCACUAUGUGCUCAUAUAACCAAUUCUUUGUAUACAUGCUAUGGGGGGAGAGAGAGAGAGACAGAUAUAUAUAUAUAUAUAUAUAUAUAUAUAUAUAUACACAUUGAGUGAGAGCUCUGGUGUCUUUUCCCACAAGGACAUGAAUCUUAUCAGAUUAGGGCCUCAUCCUUAUGACCUUAUUUGACCUUAACGACUUCCUUAGAGCCCCCCUCUCUAAAUACAGCCACACUGGGGAUUAUGACUUUGACAUACAAAUUUUGGGGGGACAUAAACAUUCAGUCCAUAUCAGAGGGACAGUGAAGACUUCGUGGGGCAAGUGACAUUUAAGCUAGGUUUAGAAAAAUUAGCAGGCAUCAACAAAGGAGGAAUAAAGAUGUUCUAGGUGGAGAGCA